AUUGAACGCUGGCGGCAGGCCUAACACAUGCAAGUCGAGCGGUAACACAGGGAGCUUGCUCCUGGGUGACGAGCGGCGGACGGGUGAGUAAUGUCUGGGAAACUGCCUGAUGGAGGGGGAUAACUACUGGAAACGGUAGCUAAUACCGCAUAACGUCGCAAGACCAAAGAGGGGGACCUUCGGGCCUCUUGCCAUCAGAUGUGCCCAGAUGGGAUUAGCUAGUAGGUGGGGUAACGGCUCACNUNNGCGACGAUCCCUAGCUGGUCUGAGAGGAUGACCAGCCACACUGGAACUGAGACACGGUCCAGACUCCUACGGGAGGCAGCAGUGGGGAAUAUUGCACAAUGGGCGCAAGCCUGAUGCAGCCAUGCCGCGUGUAUGAAGAAGGCCUUCGGGUUGUAAAGUACUUUCAGCGGGGAGGAAGGUGCUGAGGUUAAUAACCUCAGCAAUUGACGUUACCCGCA
rnacentral:rRNA from 1 species